rnacentral:rRNA from 1 species
CACGUAGGGGGCGAGCGUUGUCCGGAAUUACUGGGUGUAAAGGGCGCGCAGGCGGCCUCGCAAGUCAGAUGUGAAAGCUCAAGGCUUAACCUUGGAAUGUCAUCUGAAACUGCGGGACUUGAGUAUCAGAGGGGAAAGUGGAAUUCCUGGUGGAGCGGUAAAAUGCGCAGAGAUCAGGAGGAACACCGGUGGCGAAGGCGACUUUCUGGCUGACAACUGACGCUGAGGCGCGAAAGCGUGGGGAGCAAACAGGAUUAGAUACCCG